CCUUCAUCAGGAUAUUUGGAAAGGAGGAAGCAAAGAUACCAAUAAUGAUUAUUCAUUCAUCUCCAGUGAAGACUCUAGUUGUGGUUACAGAUCAUGGAGAGAGUAGGAAAAGUUGUAGUCAAAACAGUAGCAAAACCAAUCCUGUUAGAUCAUAGGAGUUGCAUCUGAAGUCCAAUCACAGACAAAGUGCAUCAUAUUUGCAGAGACGUAUCUUUCAAGACUGUAUUAAUUGCUCAGCUUUCCUCAGGAUAUUUGCAAAGGAGUACAAGGAAAAUUUAUAUUAUGUUUAAGGUUCCUCGUUCUUCCAUUAUACAAGUUGACUGGAGCAGCUAUACAUUUACCUACGAGUUCUAUAAAGACAACGAAAGGUUUGCUGUGGUAACUAAACUUGUGCUGCUGAGGAAGCUCUCUUCAUUCUUACGUAAGCCAACAUAUUCUCCCUACUCCCUCCACCCCCUCAAAGAGCAAUGCUUGGUGGGGGGCUGCUGCUGG